AUAAUAAAAUCUAUUGAGUGAUAUUAAAAUAGGAAUUAAGGAGAAAUAUAAAGAUAAAAAAUUUAAAAAAGCUAAAGAAUAUCCUACACUAAUAAAUUGAAGACUAAUAUCCAAGAAUGAGUUUAAGGAGGACAAAUGUUGUCUUAUAAUAUGACUAUUAAGUAAAAGAAAAAAAGAUGGAUCAUAUUAUAGAAAAUCUUAAAUAAAAAUAUUAUAAUAAAUUAUCUUAGAAUUAUAGAUAAUAAUCAAGAAGUAGUAAAAUUAAUAUGUGCUACUAUUGCUUUUUUAUAAAAUAGAUUUUUACUCACUUUGUAUAGCAAUACUAAAGAAAAAACAAAUGUAAAAAAAAAAAUUGAUAUAUCUUAAGAAAGGAAUUUUAAAAAAUUAUUAAAAAAAUUAUCUUAAGAAACCAAGAAUUGAUAAUUGGAGAAGACUAAUUGUAAACUAGGAUUGAAAUCCAACAUUGAGACACAAAAUUAUACACCUACAAUAAUUCCAUACUUUAGUUUGCUGAUUGAAGAGUAAAAUUAGAUAAUAAAAUUUAAGAGGAUUUUUUUUAGCUUUAGUUUUAACUCAUUUGUAGAGAUCUUGAGUUUUUAAGGGCUUUUUAAAAAGAAAGAUAAUUUCAAUGAUUUUGGAUUUUAAAAAAUAAAAUGAGGCUUAUGUAUUUGAAGAAUUAAUAAGAAUUUUAGUAGAUUCAUAGAUAAAAUUAUAUAGAUUUAUAAUUUUUUUUUUUAAUUUAUAUUUGAAAUUUGAGAUUGAUCAAAAAAUUACAUUAAAA
rnacentral:lncRNA from 1 species